GAAGAACGCUAGCUACAGGCUUAACACAUGCAAGUCGAGGGACCGGCGCACGGGUGAGUAACACGUAUCCAACCUGCCCUUUACCCGGGGAUAGCCUUUCGAAAGAAAGACUAAUACCUGAUAUAAAGGAUGGGGAUGCGUUCCAUUAGGUUGUUGGUGAGGUAACGGCUCACCAAGCCUUCGAUGGAUAGGGGUACUGAGAGGAAGGGCACCGACAGUGGACCUUAGACGCGGUCCAAACUCCUACGGGAUGCAGCAGUGGGGGAAAUUGGUGAAUGUGCGCUAGCCUGAGGCAGCCAAGUAGCGUGAAGGAUGAAGGAUUAUGUGUAGUAAACUUCUUUUAUAUAAGAAAGGGUAUUAUAUUAAUAAGGAUCGGCUGCCUCCGUGCCAGCCGCCGCGGUAAUAC
rnacentral:rRNA from 1 species